AUUGAACGCUGGCGGCAGGCCUAACACAUGCAAGUCGAGCUAUCGUCGGACGGGUGAGUAAUUCAUGGGGACUGCCCUAUACAGGCGGCUAACUUCUGGCAACGGCGGCUAAUACCGCAUACUGUCGGCUAACCUAUAUGGGAUUAGCUAGUAGUUAAGGUAAUGGCUUACCUAGGCGACGAUCCCUAGCUGGUCUGACAGUAUGAUCAGCCACACUGGUAAUGAGACACGACCCAGACGCCUACGGAGGCAGCAGUGGAGAAUCGAGCACAAGUGGCGAAAGCCUGAUACAGCCAUGCCGCGUGUAUGAAGAAGGGCCUAGGGUUGUAAAGUGCUAUCGGUCGGGAGGCGUUACCGACUGAGGAAGCACCGGCUAACUCCGGGCCAGCAGCCGCGGUAAUUC
rnacentral:rRNA from 1 species